rnacentral:rRNA from 1 species
UACGGAGGGUGCAAACGUUGCUCGGAAUCAUUGGGCGUAAAGCGCACGUAGGCGGCCUGUUAAGUCGGGUGUGAAAGCCCUGGGCUCAACCCAGGAAGUGCACUCGAAACUGGCGGGCUUGAAUAUGGAAGAGGGUCGCGGAAUUCCCGGUGGUAGAGGUGAAAUGCGUAGAUAUGCGGAGGAACACCAAUGGCGAAAGGCAAUCUCCUGGACCUGGCACUGACGCUCAUGCACGAAAGCGUGGGGAGCAAACAGGG